CCAAUAGCGUAUAUUAAAGUUGUUGCAGUUAAAAAGCUCGUAGUUGAAUUUCGGGAUUCUACCGUUGGUCGGGCUAACAAGUCUGUACUGGUGUGUAGAAUUUCUACCUUCUGGGGAACUAUCAUGUUAUUAAUUUAGCGUGGUGGGAAACCAGGACCUUUACCUUGAAAAAAUUAGAGUGUUCAAAGCAGGCUUACGUCUGAAUACAUUAGCAUGGAAUAAUAGAAUAGGACGGUGGUCCUGUUUUGUUGGUUUCUGAAUCACCGUAAUGAUUAAUAGGGAUAGUUGGGGGAAUUAGUAUUCAAUUGUCAGAGGUGAAAUUCUUGGAUUUAUUGAAGACUAACUUCUGCGAAAGCAUUUGCCAAGGAUGUUUUCAUUAAUCAAGAACGAAAGUUAGGGGAUCGAAGACGAUCAGAUACCGUCGUAGUCUUAACCAUAAACUAUGCCGACUAGGGAUCGGACGAUGUUAAAUUUUAUUGACUCGUUCGGCGCCUUACG
rnacentral:rRNA from 1 species